rnacentral:rRNA from 1 species
AUUCCUACGGGACGCAGCAGUGGGGAAUAUUGGGCAAUGGGCGCAAGCCUGACCCAGCAACGCCGCGUGAAGGAAGAAGGCUUUCGGGUUGUAAACUUCUUUUAUUCGGGACGAAGCAAGUGACGGUACCGAAUGAAUAAGCCACGGCUAACUACGUGCCAGCAGCCGAGGUAAUACGUAGGUGGCGAGCGUUAUCCGGAUUUACUGGGUGUAAAGGGCGUGUAGGCGGGAGUGCAAGUCAGAUGUGAAAACUAUGGGCUCAACCCAUAGCCUGCGUUUGAAACU